rnacentral:rRNA from 1 species
UACGUAGGUGGCAAGCGUUUGUCCGGAUUUACUGGGCGUAAAGGGAGCGUAGGUGGAUAUUUAAGUGGGAUGUGAAAUACUCGGGCUUAACCUGAGUGCUGCAUUCCAAACUGGAUAUCUAGAGUGCAGGAGAGGAAAGUAGAAUUCCUAGUGUAGCGGUGAAAUGCGUAGAGAUUAGGAAGAAUACCAGUGGCGAAGGCGACUUUCUGGACUGUAACUGACACUGAGGCUCGAAAGCGUGGGGAGCAAACA